UUCUUCUUGUUUCAGAAAAUUUGGCUGCAAACAAAUUUGAUCAUUCAGAUUCAGUGAAAGGAGAAAGAGAUAAUAUCAAUAUGGAUGAACUUGGGCAGCUGGAUGAACUUCUUCAAAGUAUCGAAGAUCUGGACAAUUAAAAGGUGCUUUAUGGGGGCCUUCCUAUCUGAAGAGUCUGCCUCGAGCAAUAGAAGAAAGAAAGCACAAUGUACUAUUGGCUGCUGCCAUAAAUAACUUAACAUUAAUAAACUAUGAAUAAAUUCUGCA